rnacentral:rRNA from 1 species
UACGAAGGGGGCUAGCGUUGCUCGGAAUCACUGGGCGUAAAGCGCACGUAGGCGGCUUUUUAAGUCAGAGGUGAAAUCCUGGAGCUCAACUCCAGAACUGCCUUUGAUACUGGAGAGCUUGAGUCCGGGAGAGGUGAGUGGAACUGCGAGUGUAGAGGUGAAAUUCGUAGAUAUUCGCAAGAACACCAGUGGCGAAGGCGGCUCACUGGCCCGGUACUGACGCUGAGGUGCGAAAGCGUGGGGAUCAAACAGG